GAGAUCGGGAUAACACCUGGAAACAGAUGCUAAUACCGGAUAACAACAGAUGAUGCCUAUCAACUGUUUAAAAGAUGGUUCUGCUAUCACUCUUGGAUGGACCUGCGGUGCAUUAGCUAGUUGGUAGGGUAACGGCCUACCAAGGCGAUGAUGCAUAGCCGAGUUGAGAGACUGAUCGGCCACAUUGGGACUGAGACACGGCCCAAACUCCUACGGGAGGCAGCAGUG
rnacentral:rRNA from 1 species